rnacentral:rRNA from 1 species
ACGAACGCUGGCGGCGUGCUUAACACAUACAAGUCGAACGAAGAGCGAUGGAAGCUUGCUUCUAUCAAUCUUAGUGGCGAACGGGUGAGUAACGCGUAAUCAACCUGCCCUUCAGAGGGGGACAACAGUUGGAAACGACUGCUAAUACCGCAUACGAUCUAAACUCGGCAUCGAGGAUAGAUGAAAGGUGGCCUCUACAUGUAAGCUAUCACUGAAGGAGGGGAUUGCGUCUGAUUAGCUAGUUGGAGGGGUAACGGCCCACCAAGGCGAUGAUCAGUAGCCGGUCUGAGAGGAUGAACGGCCACAUUGGGACUGAGACACGGCCCAGACUCCUACGGGAGGCAGCAGUGGGGAAUCUUCCGCAAUGGACGAAAGUCUGACGGAGCAACGCCGCGUGAGUGAUGACGGCCUUCGGGUUGUAAAGCUAUGUUAAUCGGGACGAAAGGCCUUCUUGCGAAUAGUGAGAAGGAUUGACGGUACCGGAAUAGAAAGCCACGGCUAACUACGUG